rnacentral:misc_RNA from 1 species
CCAAAAAACACGGGCUCUCUCUGUAAAACUCCAUUGAAGAGCCAACACAAGCAGCUCUGCUCCUAUGUCCUCACCAGCAUAGAACCUACCCCUUUGUUUUUCUCUUCUUCUGGGUUGUUGCUUUCUUCUCAAAUGUUGUGGUGAAAGUGCUUCCUUGGGCACAAAAAUGGCUUUUCAAGAUCAUAUUUCACACGAAAUGGCUUUUCAGUCACCACUAUCUGCGUCUGCCUCUUCCUCCGCCUCUGCUGGCCCUGCGUGGCUUAGCAACGCUGUUCUCCGUCUUAACGACGACGUUUUGGGUCGGAACCAAAGCGAGAAAGGCGACCACAAUAAUAAUAACAACGGUGGCGAGGAUGAGUUGAUAGAUGGUGGCGUUGGUGGUGGGGAUAAUUGGGAGAGGGCGAAAUGCAAAGCGGAGAUAUUGGGUCAUCCGCUUUACGAGCAGUUGCUAGC